rnacentral:rRNA from 1 species
AGAGUUUGAUCCUGGCUCAGAACGAACGCUGGCGGCAUGCCUCAUACAUGCAAGUCGAACGCAGGCUUCGGCCUGAGUGGCGCACGGGUGAGUAGCGCGUGGGAACCUACCCUUUUGUGGGGGAUAACCGAGGGAAACUUCGGCUAAUACCGCAUACGCCGGGCAACCGGGAAAGAUUUAUCGCAGAAGGAUGGGCCCGCGUCGGAUUAGCUAGUUGGUGGGGUAACGGCCCACCAAGGCUACGAUCCGUAGCUGGUCUGAGAGGAUGAUCAGCCACACUGGGACUGAGACACGGCCCAGACUCCUACGGGAGGCAGCAGUAGGGAAUAUUGGACAAUGGGCGAAAGCCUGAUCCAGCAAUGCCGCGUGAGUGAGGAAGGCCUUAGGGUUGUAAAGCUCUUUCGGCGGGGACGAUGAUGACGGUACCCGCAGAAGAAGCCCCGGCUAACUUCGUGCCAGCAGCCGCGGUAAUACGAAGGGGGCAAGCGUUGUUCGGAAUUACUGGGCGUAAAGGGCGCGUAGGCGGCGAUCUUUGUCAGGUGUGAAAGCCCCAGGCUCAACCUGGGAAUUGCACUUGGGACGGGAUUGCUUGAGUUCGGGAGAGGAGAGUGGAAUUCCCAGUGUAGAGGUGAAAUUCGUAGAUAUUGGGAAGAACACCGGUGGCGAAGGCGGCUCUCUGGACCGAUACUGACGCUGAGGCGCGAAAGCGUGGGGAGCAAACAGGAUUAGAUACCCUAGUAGUCC